AACGGACGCUGGCGGCAUGCCUAACACAUGCAAGUCGAGCGGAGAGAGGUAGCUUGCUACUGAUCUUAGCGGCGGACGGGUGAGUAAUGCUUAGGAAUCUGCCUAUUAGUGGGGGACAACAUUUCGAAAGGAAUGCUAAUACCGCAUACGUCCUACGGGAGAAAGCAGGGGAUCUUCGGACCUUGCGCUAAUAGAUGAGCCUAAGUCGGAUUAGCUAGUUGGUGGGGUAAAGGCCUACCAAGGCGACGAUCUGUAGCGGGUCUGAGAGGAUGAUCGCCCACACUGGGACUGGGACACGGCCCAAACUACGACGGGAGGCAGCGGUGGGGAAUAUUGGACAAUGGGCGGAAGCCUGAUCCAGCCAUGCCGCGUGUGUGAAGAAGGUCUUCGGAUUGUAAAGCACUUUAAGUUGGGAGGAAGGGCAGUAAGUUAAUACCUUGCUGUUUUGACGUUACCGACAGAAUAAGCACCGGCUAACUCUGUGCCAGCCGCCGCCGUAAAAC
rnacentral:rRNA from 1 species